rnacentral:rRNA from 1 species
GGAUCGAGUGUGUUACAGCUCGUAGUUGGAUUUCUGGUAGUUAUUCUUGGUCCGCUGGCUUCUGCCGUGUGAGUACCAAGGUGUAACUGUCAUCCUAUCUGGUUGGAGUGGGGUAACUCGCUUCUGUCUGAUUCAUUUACUUUGAAAAAAUUAGAGUGUUUAAAGCAGGCUUGCGCAAUGAACACAUUAGCAUGGAAUAAUAAUAUAGGACUACGGGUUCUAUUUUGUUGGUUUCUAGACCUGAAGUAAUGAUUGAUAGGGAUAGUUGGGGGUGCUAGUAUUGAGUGGCCAGAGGUGAAAUUCUUGGAUUCACUCAAGACUAACUUAUGCGAAAGCAUUU